rnacentral:rRNA from 1 species
GACGAACGCUGGCGGCGUGCUUAACGCAUGCAAGUCGAACGGGAUUUAGUAGACAGAAGCUUCGGUGGAAGAUUACUAAUGAGAGUGGCGAACGGGUGAGUAACGCGUGAGCAACCUGCCUAUGACAGUGGGAUAGCCUCGGGAAACCGGGAUUAAUACCGCAUAAAAUCGUAGAAACACAUGUUUUAACGGUCAAAGAUUUAUCGGCCAUAGAUGGGCUCGCGUCCGAUUAGCUAGUUGGUGAGAUAACAGCCCACCAAGGCGACGAUCAGUAGCCGGUCUGAGAGGAUGAACGGCCACAUUGGAACUGAGACACGGUCCAAACUCCUACGGGAGGCAGCAGUGGGGAAUAUUGCACAAUGGGGGAAACCCUGAUGCAGCGACGCCGCGUGAACGAAGAAGGUAUUCGUAUCGUAAAGUUCUGUCCUAUGGGAAGAUAAUGACAGUACCAUAGAAGAAAGCUCCGGCUAAAUACGUGCCAGCAGCCGCGGUAAUACGUAUGUCACAAGCGUUAUCCGGAUUUAUUGGGCGUAAAGCGCGUCUAGGUGGUUAUAUAAGUCUGAUGUGAAAAUGCAGGGCUCAACUCUGUAUUGCGUUGGAAACUGUGUAACUAGAGUACUGGAGAGGUAAGCGGAACUACAAGUGUAGAGGUGAAAUUCGUAGAUAUUUUGUAGGAAUGCCGAUGGGGAAGCCAGCUUACUGGACAGAUACUGACGCUGAAGCGCGAAAGCGUGGGUAGCAAACAGGAUAGAUACCCUAGUAGUUCAGGGCGAAUUCUACAUUGGGCUGCGGCCGGGGGAUCACUAAGUCUAGAGGGGCCGCACGCGGGAGCUCAAUUGCCUAUAGGUGAGUCGGUUAACGGGGGUUCCUGGCCGUCUUUUCAACGUCGUGGCUGUGUAACCCUGGGGUACCAACUAAUGCCUUGCAGACAAUCCUCUUUUGGCAG